rnacentral:lncRNA from 1 species
AAAGAUAAAAAAAAAAAAAAAAAAAUACAUACAUACAUGUAUAUAUAUAUAUAUAUAUGUAUACAUAUAUUGCUUAAAUUAAUAGUACAAUUUUAUGCGUGACAGCUGCGUUAUACUUUCAUUCGACAACACAAAAGUAUAUAAAAAAACAAAAUAAAAAUAAAACAAGUGAAUAAAACAAAAAAAUAAAGCAAAAAGUUAAAACAGGUAAGCAAAACAAGUAAACAAAAUAGGUAAGCAAAACAAGUAAACAAAAUAGGUAAACAAAACAGGUAAACAAAACAAGUAAACAAAACAGGUAAACAAAACAAGUAAGCAAAACAACUAAGCAAAACAAGUAAACAAAAAAAGUAAACCAAAAAAUUGAAUAAAAAAUUGAAUAAAAAAUUGAAUAAAAAAUUGAANNNNNNNNNNAAAAUUGAAUAAAAAAUUGAAUAAAAAAUUGAAUAAAAAAUUGAAUAGAAAAUGUAAUAAAAAAACAGAACAAAAAACAAAACGGGAGAGGUAAAAAAAAAAAAAAAAAAAAAAAAAAAAAAAUAGCCUGUAAUAAAAAUAUGAUAAACCUGUUAUAAACGUAGGCCAACAUUUUAACAAAACAUGAACAGUAACAAUAAAAAUAGUCAACCGAACAACAUAUAUGUUGUUAAUCAAAUUGUUGAAAAAGAGCAUAGUAAUAGUUUUAGGAACAAUUUUGAAGUGAUCGAAACCAAACAAGUUGUUCAAACGUAUAAACACAUAGAUAACAAUGUAUUGAAAAGUAUGUAUGAUCAUGCGGGAACAAACAAAACAGCCCCAACAAUUGACAGUGAUAAGCAUUUUCAUAGUCUAGAGUGUAAUAAAACUAGUAGUCACAAUUACAGCAGAAAUAACUACAUAAAAAAUAAUAGUAAUGCAUUUUUCAGAGCGAAAAAAAACAAUUUUCGAAACAAAACAUUAAUAACAAAGAAUGAUAAUUACGCUAAUAACUACAAUAACAAGAAAAUGAUUAAUAACACACACCAAUACUCUUGUAACAGUAAUAACAAUUAUAAAUUGUUUAGUACAAAGAACGAAACAAAUAGUAAUGAUAUUAAGACACAUCAAUACCAAGCAUUCAGAACAAGUAACAAACAUUUUAACAGAAGAGGAUGUAUACUACCUGAUAGAAAUAAUACACAAAAACGCCCAAGUUAUAUAGGUGAUUGUAAUGUAAAAAAAUUGGAAAAUCAGGAGUCAAAAACGAGCAAAGAAGGUAGUGAAGAAGGUAGUGAAGAAGGUAGUGAAGUUUCAUCUAAAAAUAACAUAGACAAAAAUAGUGACACUAUAAAGCAAAACGAUACUAUUUGUAAUAAUAUAAAAACAAAUUAUAAACAUAAAAAACAUAACGACUUUAUGAAUUGUGAAAAAAUUAUAAAGAACACACUUGAAUUUAUUUCUUCUAGUCGUGCAUUAGGUGGUAAGAAAAGAUUUGGUUACUCUUCCUCUGAUGAAGAGCUAGAAGAAGAAUGUCAAAAAGACCAGUUAACAGUUGAAGAUAGUACCUUAUGUAACGUAUGUAAUGAACAAGAUUAUAAAUAUACAUGUCCAUAUUGUGAAAAAAAAUAUUGCUCAUUAAUAUGCUCAAAAAAACAUAAAACAAUGUUUAAUUGUAAAAAUAAAUUAAAAAAAAAAAUAAAAAUAAAAAAUGCGAACAAAGCAAACUACGAUGAAGAUAUAUUACAUCAUGAUUUUACAUUAUUAAAUAAUGUCGAAAAAGUAUUAGAGCGAAAUUAUAAAUUUAUAAAAUUAAAUGAAAUAGAAAAUUGUUAUUCAAGUAACAUUUCACUUCAUGAAUAUAAAAAAAUAAUUCAAAAUUUAAAAAAAAAAAAUGUACAACUAUUAAAAGCACCUACAUUUACACAGUUACAUAAGAUGAAUAAAUCAAAUAUAAAUAAAAAAACAAAUAUGAUACAAUGGACAAUUAAAACAAUUUUUAUUAAUGCUAACAUAUUUAUAAUUCAUAAUUAUAUUUCCCAUCAAGCGACUUUUAAAGAAAUAUUAUAUUUGUCUUUCCAAAAAAAUAAAAAACAACACAAGUCGGAAAUAAAUGCCUACUUAACCGAUUUAUCAAAGGUACAUGUUUAUUUGUCAAAUGCUGUGUAUAACACGGGGAAAAAAAGUGAAAAUGGGGUUGGGACUGUAGCUAGUGCUGAUACAUGUACAGACUGUAUGGAUGGAGAAAAAAAAAAAACGACUCGUUUUUUCCCAUUAGAAACAACUAUUGAAGAAGCGUUAACUAAUCAAUCAUUUUAUGAGUAUCCGCAUUUCGUUUUUGAAAUUUUAGAAGAUAUCAAAUACUUACCUAUUGGCACUACAAACAUGCAAGAGCCUCAAGGUCUUAGUACCGCUUGUGCAAAAAAGGUUUCACGCGAGGGAGAGGGAGAACAUAUAACAGAGCAAGAGCAAGAGAAAGAGAAAGAGAAAGAGAAAG